rnacentral:rRNA from 1 species
ACAGGCUUAACACAUGCAAGUCGAGGGGCAGCAUGGGGAUGGCUUGCCAUUCCCGAUGGCGACCGGCGCACGGGUGAGUAACGCGUAUCCAACCUGCCCGCAACCGCGGAAUAGCCCGCCGAAAGGCGGAUUAAUGCCGCAUGAGCUCGCGUGAGGACAUCUGCCCGCGAGCAAAGGUUCACUCCGGUUGCGGAUGGGGAUGCGUCCGAUUAGGCAGCAGGCGGGGCAACGGCCCACCUGGCCUACGAUCGGUAGGGGUUCUGAGAGGAAGGUCCCCCACAUUGGAACUGAGACACGGUCCAAACUCCUACGGGAGGCAGCAGUGAGGAAUAUUGGUCAAUGGGCGCGAGCCUGAACCAGCCAAGUAGCGUGGGGGAUGACUGCCCUAUGGGUUGUAAACCCCUUUUGCGCGGGGAUAAACCGGCGGACGCGUCCGCCGCUGCAGGUACCGCGCGAAUAAGACCGGCUAAUUCCGUGCCAGCAGCCGCGGUAAUACGGAAGGUCCCGGGCGUUAUCCGGAUUUAUUGGGUUUAAAGGGAGCGUAGCGGGAGGCUAAGCGUGCUGGUGAAU